UAAGAAUUUUUCUUGCAUUAAAAAGCUCUUUAAAGGUGUGUCUCUCUCUCUCCUGUAAUUGAGUUCACACCUUUUUGAGCCUCACAAUAGUUUCCUGAGUGCACUUAUGGGAGAGAUUCAGGACAAAGUCAGCUUGAGAGAUGGAGCGAUGAUUAGAAGAGAGAGAGGGAGCGAGAGAGAGAGGAGGGAAAGAUGACUCCACCACCCUGGGGGGAGGACGAGGUGAGAUGGAACCACUUCUCCGCUCACCAAUGGUUCCAUCUCUCCCGCCAUCGGAGCGCCAUCUGCUGGCCCGGUGGGGCGGGACAGCUGGUGUUGUGAAUCAGGCCGCCACAAUCAAAGGAACGGCUACUUCCCAACACCAGGGUCUCACCCUCACCCCUCUCACCCCAUCCCAACACCAGGAUCUGACCCCUCUCACCCCAUCGCCUCGGCUGGCAACGAGCCGCUCAGCGUAUGUUUCAAAGCGAGUGCUUUGUACUCUCCGGAUGAAAUGGCGAUCGGUAAUACUGGGACUUUGUACAAAUCUGUGUGGAGUUUAUGUUCCUUUUACAUCAUAUCUCCUGAAAUUAGGAAUUAGAAGAAAGUACAGCAAAUAUCCCAAAUAAAAAUGUUAAAUUAUUUCAAACCCCAUAGAACACACACAAAAAAUGAUGACAUGAAAUACAAUAAAAAAUGUUUCCCUAAUAAAUGAAUUAAAUGUGAAUUUAAAAAGAAUAUGACAAUGGUUUUGUCUUUUAAUAAAAGCUACUUGUUAAAGACUUCAUGGGAGUAUUUAUAAUAUAUAAUGGCAAUGCGCCACCAGAAAAUGACCUGAAUGUAUAUACUUUUUUUCCCCUCAUGAACAGCAGUGUGUUCACACCAAACUAAGCCCUUAAGCUGCUGAAGCUGUAGCUGAUCACCUCCGGCCACUAAGGGAUGAAAAUGUAUAUUGCUCAUUAUCUUAAUAAACCACCACCCUUCUGCUGAUUGCCUUACUUGUGUGUCUGUGUUCUUACACCAAAUACUGUAUUUGUAUGAAUCAUAUAAAAGGCUGCCACUGU
ensembl:lncRNA